ACUGGGCAUCAUGGCGGGCUCCAGUGAGCCAACGUGAGCGUCUAGGCAGUAGAUUGCCGUGGGAGGAGUGAAUGGAGGAGUCCUCCAGAGUGCGGUGACCGGGCGUCCGCGUUAAGUGUGGCCUUGCCAAGUGUGUGCGGCCGGGGGGCUGCGUGUCUCAGGCUGCCAAGGAGGGGUGCACAGCACAGGCCCGAGAGGGAGCAGGCUAAAACCCUCACGUGACGCAGUGGCCGAAUCACGCCUGUGAAUACCCGCGCCAUCGUAGCCUCUCAGACACCUUCAGACUAGAAGUGGCUU
rnacentral:SRP_RNA from 1 species